CUAAAUACCUGUGUACCUAUUAUGGCAAAAAAACUAAACAGUCAAAAUGUGGGAAAUGCUGCAGAUAGAGCUCAGAGCUCCUGACACAACUACAAACUCAACCCUCAGGAAGCCAGACUUUGCUCCAGUGCCCCUUGCCUGUUUGUUUCAGUGGGCUCAGAGCUAUUCAGUCAAAUCUCCCUUGCAGCACUGAAAUACCUUGAAGUCCUUGGAUCUACAUGUUUUGGUUCAGGGCUAAAAAUAAUCUGUCUGAUGGUAGAGCAUCGGAACAUGUGAUACAUGAAAUUUUUAAGCCUACUGAAAAUUGCUCCAGAAAUCUAUUUUAAAACACUCAGAAAGAAACUAAAAGCAUGCACGCUCUUCAGUUUUCCCAUAGCUCAGCUACCGAUGCUACUGUAGCAUGAAGUAUCUGAGGGCUCUCCGUGAAUUCUCACUAAGCUUACGGCCACAAGGUAGUGUGCCUUCACAGGAUGAAAGCCAAAGCCAUAGAGACUGUUUCAGAAUAUGCUGUAGUGUUCUCUCUUAAUGCCAUACACUAGUGUUGAAUAAAUGCCCCUAUAUUAAGACAGUGUUCACAUGAAAUAUUUUGUUAUAUGUUUUUGUGCUUAAGGCACUGGCAUUUGUGCCCAAGGCUCUCCCGUUAUUUAUGGCACCAGCGUAGCACAACGUCUCACAUUAGCUGGCUAGCAGUAAGGUAGCAUCUCAUGGCUGCAGUUCUCCGGCACUGGCUGCCUUGGUGUGUAUUUCUGCCAGCAGUACAAAUACAGCUGUGUGCACCCCUCUUGUCUUCAUUUUAUUCAUAGGAAGGAAAAGACCAGCAUGUGUGCUACAUUCCUCAGUUUUAUCCAACCUGCUGAGUCCCUUAAUGUCCAAGAGGAAACACAGGAGGGAGAAGAGGACAUGAGGUGAAGGUACACAUAAACAAGGUAUUUCGAAGAAUUUAAUUUCCUGGUAACAAAGUCCUUUUCUCCAACUGCUUAACCACUUUUCCAUCAGGACUGUGGGCGACUUCAAAGCAACACCCGUACUCCCUGGAGGAGGGCCUCAAAAACCUUGACAAACGAUUGUGACUUUUGCCACAUUUAUUUGCGCUUUGAAGGUUUCCACAAUUGUGUACACCUUGGUAAAGUCCUUUUUGGAAUGCGUAUGUUCAGCAAAUAUUGGGUACACAGAGAAACAAUCUUCAGGGAAGCCACUGCGCUUUGUAGAGUAAGUCUCAGUCUCUGUCAAGUGGCUGCUGGCAUUAUAUCAAUGGCCAGGGCACAUGCAGCACUGGGAGUCUAUGAGAGCAGGUUCAAUAUGUUUUGAAGUGUUCUGUGUUCCCAUCAACUUUUCCUUUGCAUGUUACUCUUUUUUUGUCCCAUAUUUUUGCAGACAGGCUGUUCCCCUCUAAGUCACCAACAUCAACUUCGUUUUAAUGUUGCUGAUUCUGAAUUCCUGGGCUGCGCUAAAUUCCUGAUAAUUUCAGUUGGUGUCUUAAUUGUGUAAGAACUUCUGACUAAAUAAAUAAUUCCUGAUGCAGGAAAACCCCACAUGAUAGCUAAACAACUCAGAAUGAGGAGAGUUUCCUCUGUACAGAGAUGUGCCAAUUUGUUUUUUAAGGCCAGUGAGGUGCAGAAACCUGACCUCAAAGGACAUGCUAGCGAUGGAGGGAGCAUAAAGCUUCUCCUGACUAUCAGAGGGAAAUCUCAUCUAGUUACUGCUAAGAGAGAAAAUCAGAUGAGCUCUUCUCCAGUGACGAUGUUGUCCCUGAGACGUGCUACCAAAGGGGCUUUUUCUACACAUUUGGCUGCAGUGUUUAUAUUCAAUAGAAACCUAACACUAGAUUGUGUCUGGCAAAUUCGCUAUGACAGAGAUAUUCAGGUGCCUGCAAGUGUAAGUUUAAUUGCUUCACUCUUCUGGGAGUCUGCAGUAUGUUAGAAGGCAUGCAGAGCCAAAGAGCAGAGGGCUGUGCCCCUCUAUUUCUUUGGAAUUUGCUUCUAUUUCAGAAGGAUGAAAAAGAAAAACCAGUUAACUCACCAAAUGCAGAGAAUCACCCUUCUGGAAGGAGGAUGGCACCGUUGAGGUAAGUACUUCUUUUCUGUUGGGGACAAGAGAUGGACUUUACUUGCCCGAUGAAAGUACCACUGUCACUGAUCACAUAGUACAAAAUUCUCCUAGAUGUCAGUAGCAGGAGGUCAAUAACAGACAUGCUGUAAUUGCCUGUACACUUUCUCAAAUUGUCCUCCCACAUAUUUUAUAUGAUCUGGGAAUAAAUAACCCAUUUUCUAUUCACUUCUACAAACAGAAGUGAGGCAGAGUAAACAGUCGGGUGGACUAUCCCCUGCCAGCUGACAAACUCUCCGUUUCUUUUUUCUUUUCAAGUGGCUGUUUAUUGAGCUUGUUAUGGUAUUUUAGAGGUCGUAUAGGUUGCAGGGAAUAAUAAAGCCAUUGAUAAGAACGAAGUUUGUGUCCUUAUUCUCCCAACACCAUGUGACUGAAGAAGAAAGAUAUAUGAUCUUUCGAGGUCCCUUCCAAUCCCUAACAUCCUGUGAUAUGCCUCUCCAAUUUCAUUGCUUUUCUGGAAGGGUAUUUAUUUUAGGCUUCUGUUCUGAAGAACCAUUUUGAAGUCUGGAUAAAAUUCAUCCCUAAAACUAUUUACUCUUCUUGAUAUCGUAUGAAUAAGGUAAGUUCUUCACUAGAGUAUACUCCGUGACAAAUAAUGCCCUAGUAAUUAUGGGUGGGGAUUUUCAUGUGGUGACUGAUGAUGCCUUGGAAAAGAGCCAUGGUGCUGUGCAUUCAGGAGCUAAGCUAUCUAAAUCCUUGCAGACCUCAUUUAUGCUUUUGGGAAUAUAGGACAGGUGUGGCAGUUACUAAACCUGGAUACUUGAGAAUUCACCUCUUAUUCCCAGGUGUGGGCCAUUAAUUCUCGCCCAGACUUGUUCAGUUCUAACAAGUCUCUUUUGAACCAGAUUUCAUAUGUGCACAUAUACACACACAAUACAUAGCAUUUUCCUUUCAAUCCAUUUAUCCACUUUGUUUUUGCCCAUUUUUAGCUAUGCAGCCUCCCCUUACCUAACAUUUUACAUACACAUGGCAACAAACCCCAAUAUUGAUCAGUGGCAGUCUACAAAUCCCUGGCACAUUCUGUAGAUAACCAGAAAACUCACAGUUUGCAAUAUGUUCAGCACAAUUACUGAAGAAGCCAAGCCCCAGUGAAAUUCACAACAAUGGCUAUACCAGUUUUAAUUGGAUCACUAGACAUCAGCGCAAAGCCAGAGAACACUCAAACACAGAUUGAUAAAAACAGUUAAAUCCCAUAAAAGAACUGCAAAGGAACAGUUCCAGAAAUCUGAACACUUUGGGGUAAUGUGACACACCUAAAGCCUUCUCCCAGACCAAACAUUCUUCAGGGACACAUGUGAUAUUUUCAAACUCAAACACCUAUAAGAAAGCUUCCAAUACCAUAUUCUGAUGUUUCUAUAGAACGUGAAAGAAAGUAACACCGCUGCUGUAGUGGUACGCUUCCCAGAUCAAAGUAGCAUCUUGUGAAAUGAAACACUGGUAUUGGAGAACUUGAGCUGGUUUGACUUGAAGCACAAAUUCCUGAGAGCACGAGGGACAAGCACAGGCUGGGUUACGUCUGACAAAUCAUCUAUUUAUAGACAAGUUUGUAUUAUUCAAAUUAUCAGAUUGAGAAGCACUCAAAUUCUGUCCUUAACAUGCUGAAGCUUUUUCAAACAAAUGGACAAAGUUGUAUAGGUAGAUUGCUGCUACAGGAACACAUCCAGAAUCAGAGCAAAAAAGGACUCUGUCCCAGCAGGGACCAGCCUGCUUGCAACACCUGACUCCAGAGCUAACGCACAGCUCAUGUAACUUGUAAAUAAACAGGUAAAGUGUGUAUUGCAAUGCCACAUCUCAAAAGCUGCUGCCCAUAUAUUUCUGUUAUUACUUCUUAGAUUGCUUCCAUCUUAUUAUAUUUUUACUGUAAUACUGUGGGGAAAAAAAAUAAUCCUACAAACACUAAAGUACACUGUGUGAUGGUUUUCCUGUAAGCAGACAACACUAACCAAAUGCUGGAGUACCUUACAUGCAUGGAAUUAUGCAUAGGCUUUAAUAUCUAAAAUAAUCUGACUCUAUGCGAAUAAGUUGGUCUACAUUUUAUUUUCUUCAGCUUUCUUUGAUCAGAAUUAAUGAAUAGUUGUAAAGUGCUCUAAAAUCCUAGGAAAGCACCCUUACUUAACUAUUGUGAGCAGAGGAUAAUGUUUAAUCCUUACCUGGAAUUUUGCUCUAGUUUUAGAUGGAUGAGUCAUGUCACAGAAAAUGUAACAGAUGCAACUGAGAAACAGAUGAACAUUAGUGAUGUUAAAGCAAAUACUUUCCUGACCUACCAGGAAACAGUGUCUUCAUGGUAAUGAGCUGAGUAAAACUGUUUGCCCAGGCUAAUCCUCAGAAUUCUUCUACAAAUGUGGUUUAUUUUCCAUAGGGCUUUACAAAAACAACAACAUCAGCCAGCCAUAAAUAUGGCAAAUACAUCAAUUGUAUCUAUGUUACUAAGCUCUGCAACUGUGUUUACAAAUCUGUUUCUUCUAAAUUCUUUUGCAGGCAUAAAACAUUUCCCAAGCAGGUCUAUGGGUUAAAACUGAAGUAGCAAACAAAUUGGUACUUUUCCCCCCUGCAUUUAAACAAAAACAACUUUUUCCACUGUCUGUAUGCUUAAACUUAUUAAAAACUGCUUACCUUAUAAACCGUC